rnacentral:rRNA from 1 species
AGCGAACGUUUGCGGCGGGCCUAACACAUGCAAGUCGAACGGGCUAGCAAUAGUCAGUGGCGCACGGGUGCGUAACACGUGGGUAAUCAACCCUUCAGCUCGGGAUAACGCCUUGAAAGGGGCGCUAAUACCGGAUGCGACGCGAGGAGCCUCGGCGCUUCGCGGGAAAGAUUCGCAAGGAUCACUGAAGGACGAGCCUGCGGCCCAUCAGCUAGUUGGUGAGGUAAGAGCUCACCAAGGCGAAGACGGGUAGCUGGUCUGAGAGGAUGAUCAGCCACACUGGAACUGAGACACGGUCCAGACUCCUACGGGAGGCAGCAGUGGGGAAUAUUGCGCAAUGGGCGAAAGCCUGACGCAGCCACGCCGCGUGAGCGAUGAAGGCCUGGUCGUAAGACUCUGUGGGGAGAGGAAGAAUAAAGACCUGUGAAGAAUAGGGCCGUU